rnacentral:rRNA from 1 species
CAGCAGCCGCGGGAAUACGAAGGGUGCAAGCGUUACUCGGAAUUACUGGGCGUAAGGCGUGCGUAGGUGGUGGUUUAAGUCCGUUGUGAAAGCCCUGGGCUCAACCUGGGAAUUGCAGUGGAUACUGGGUCACUAGAGUGUGGUAGAGGAUAGUGGAAUUUCCGGUGUAGCAGUGAAAUGCGUAGAGAUCGGAAGGAACAUCUGUGGCGAAGGCGACUAUCUGGGCCAACACUGACACUGAGGCACGAAAGCGUGGGGAGCAAACAGGAUUAGAUACCCCCGUAGUCCCUGUCUCUUAUAC